GACGAACGCUGGCGGCGUGCUUAACACAUGCAAGUCGAACGAUGAAACCUAGCUUGCUAGGUCGAUUAGUGGCGAACGGGUGAGUAACACGUGACUAACCUGUCCCUUUCUCUGGGAUAACGCUCCGAAAGGAGUGCUAAUACCGGAUACUCACAUCGAGGCACAUGCCUUGGUGUGGAAAGUUUUUCGGAAAGGGAUGGAGUCGCGGCCUAUCAGCUUGUUGGUGAGGUAACGGCUCACCAGGGCGACGACGGGUAGCCGGCCUGAGAGGGCGACCGGCCACACUGGGACUGAGACACGGCCCAGACUCCGACGGGAGGCAGCAGUGGGGAAUAUUGCACAAUGGGCGCAAGCCUGAUGCAGCGACGCCGCGUGAGGGAUGAAGGUCUUCGGAUUGUAAACCUCUUUCAGUAGGGACGAAGCGAGAGUGACGGUACCUAAAGAAGAAGCACCGGCUAACUACGUGCCAGCCGCCGCCGUAA
rnacentral:rRNA from 1 species